rnacentral:rRNA from 1 species
GUCCUUUAGAUUUUAAUUUAAGGUUUAACCUGCCCACUGAAAUUUUUUAAAUGGCCGCAGUAAUUUGACUGUGCAAAGGUAGCAUAAUCAUUAGUUUUUUAAUUAAAAGCUUGUAUGAAGGGUUGGACGAAAUAAAAUCUGUCUUUAUUUAAAUAAUAUUAGAAUUUAAUUUUUAAGUUAAAAAGCUUAAAUAUAUAUAAAAGACGAGAAGACCCUAUAGAUCUUUAUAUUAUAUAAAAUAAUUUUAAUUAGGAAUAUUUAAUUUUUUAUUUUAUUUAAUAUUUUAUUGGGGUAAUAAAGGGAUUUAAUUAAUUCUUUUUGAUAUUUUACAUUAAUUAAUGAUUUUAUGAUCCAAAUUUUUUGAUUGUAAGAUUAAGUUACCUUAGGGAUAACAGCGUAAUUUUUUUAGAGAGUUCAUAUCGAUAAAAAAGUUUGCGACCUCGAUGUUGGAUUAAAAAUUGUUUUAGGCGUAGGAGUUUAAAAAUUUGGUCUGUUCGACCAUUAAAUUUUU